rnacentral:rRNA from 1 species
UGAACGCUGGCGGCGUGCCUAAUACAUGCAAGUCGAGCGAACAGACGAGGAGCUUGCUCCUUUGACGUUAGCGGCGGACGGGUGAGUAACACGUGGAUAACCUACCUAUAAGACUGGGAUAACUUCGGGAAACCGGAGCUAAUACCGGAUAACAUGUUGAACCGCAUGGUUCAACAGUGAAAGACGGUCUUGCUGUCACUUAUAGAUGGAUCCGCGCCGCAUUAGCUAGUUGGUAAGGUAACGGCUUACCAAGGCAACGAUGCGUAGCCGACCUGAGAGGGUGAUCGGCCACACUGGAACUGAGACACGGUCCAGACUCCUACGGGAGGCAGCAGUAGGGAAUCUUCCGCAAUGGGCGAAAGCCUAACGGAGCAACGCCGCGUGAGUGAAGAAGGUCUUCGGAUCGUAAAACUCUGUUAUUAGGGAAGAACAAAUGUGUAAGUAACUAUGCACGUCUUGACGGUACCUAAUCAGAAAGCCACGGCUAACUACGUG